AUUUACACAAUGUUUGUCAAUGAGUUUCCAGAGUUAUUGUCUAUCCUUUUAGUAAUGGCAGAUAGUAUUCCUAAUUUUUGGCGAUUUCAUCAUUCAUAUGGAAAAGUACAAAGACUAGGGAUGCACGAUAUUGCAAAAAACUAACAUUGCAAUAUUUUGUUUUUCUGCAAUAUAUAUUGCGAUAUGAAAAAACAGAGGAUGUCUUCAGAAAGAGCUUUGGCAAUCAACGUGACAGUUUGUAGAGAAAUUACGGUCGAGGAGGGAGAGGACAUGGUCGUGGUGAAGGAGGAAGGCGAGGAGGGAGAGGAGGAAGACGAGGUGAAGGACGAGGUAGAAGAGGAGUCUCGUAUGAAAUUCGAGCCACUUUACUGGACCAUGUUCUUGUCCAUGGUAUGACCAUGAGGGAGGCUGGGCAACGAGUCCAGCCUAAUUUGAGUCGCUUCACCGUCGCCUCCAUCGUCAGAACCUUCAGGCAGGAAAACAGGAUACAGAGACGACCAUCUGGUGGUGGGAGGUUAAGGCUUUUGUCAGAGGAGCAAGAGAGGGAGCUUGUAAACAUGGUCAUUGCCAAUAAUGUAAUCCGUCUGCGAGAGAUUCAAAGGAGAGCGAUUGAGGAUAAUUAUCAUUUUCAAGGAAUAAAUUCCAUCCUCCGAAAGCAUCGGUUCCGG
ensembl:lncRNA